rnacentral:sRNA from 1 species
AGAGCGCCAGAUGGGUCUCUGGAGACCGG